rnacentral:rRNA from 1 species
AGAUUGAACGCUGGCGGCAUGCUUUACACAUGCAAGUCGAGCGGCAGCGCGUGCCCGUAAGGGGAUGGCGGCGAGCGGCGAACGGGUGAGUAAUGCAUCGGAACGUGUCCCGUAGAGGGGGAUAGCCCGGCGAAAGCCGGAUUAAUACCGCAUAUGCUCUAUGGAGGAAAGCGGGGGACUUCGCAAGAGGCCUCGCGCUAUGGGAGCGGCCGAUGUCCGAUUAGCUUGUUGGCGGGGUAACGGCCUACCAAGGCGACGACGGGUA